GCUUAAAGUCUAGAUUUUAAAAUUGUCUGAGCAGCCUGGAGCAUAUCUCCUGUCCUCAGGCUUGACUUUAUUCCAAACAAGGAGUGAGGAGGAUCUCACUUCUCCCAGUGGCAGAGUCUCCAUCUGCAGAAUGGGAAGGAGGAAGAAUGAGAGAUCCAAAAGACAGCAUGGCUAUAAAGCCUGAGAGUCAGAAGGAGGAUUUACAUCAUUGCCAUCCCAAUGAAAGAGCAGUCCCCUGGAGUUUCCUUAGCACCAAAACUCAUCUCUUCUCUUCUUUCCGCAAACACAAUUCCUCCUUCUAAUAUCUGAGAUUUUCACCCCAAUAAGUCUGCUGUUGUUAAAACCAAAAUCUCAUCCGCUUGCGUUAAUCCACAGUUCCUUUUGUCCCACUUAAUGGAUUCUAGCCAUAGAAUAAAAGAAGGUGUUACCAUUUAGAUUUGGUGUAUUAACAGCAAUCACUCACUCCUAUACUUGAGCUGCCAUUGCUGGCUCUGGAAAGAUGGAGCCAAAAUUUUGUGAGUGGAGUAGAAGAAGCCUAGAACACCAGGAAAACAAAGGAGUACUAUCCACAUCUCUGAGGAGCUAUUACGGUAUCACUGCUUCGGCUCAUGAGCCAAAGAUUCAAGUUCAAGUCCAGAAACCAAAACAAAUCCAUUGGAGAAUAUUAGGAGACGUAGGACUAAAAUACAAGCGGUUGAGUUCCACAGAUUGCUUUUUGACCCUGCCCAAGGUGAAACUCUCAGAACUAUCCUACUAUAAUCCUCACUGAACAAAUGGGAAAAAAUGAGCCACAUAUUCAUGAAGUCAGUGUGCUUUACCAAAGAGCAGCAAAUGUACAACUCUGUUUUACAGCCUGAAGGAUCAAGUGAGUUCUACCAAAGUAGUCCAGACCCCUUUUCUCUUUUCUAGGGUUUUAUUCUCCUGAGAUGCCAGGCGAAGAGGCUUACUGGAGGUUGGACGGAUAUUCUAGUGUACCUGGAAGGCGUGAAAACACAGAUUAUCCUACUGGGUAAAUCCUCAACUGCCUGUGAAAAAGUCUAUUCCUUUUAUCUCUUUAUUUGAAGAUUGGAUUUUCUUUUUUAAAUCUUGGAAUUCAGGGGGCUUUCAGUAAAAUUCAGAAAUGCUUAUUCUUUCAUGUCAUCCCUCAUGGAUUAUACCUAAAUCUCCCUGGUGAAUUUUGAUUAUACUUGAAGAGAGCCCUUGGACUUUUGUAGGGUGGACUUAACUGUCAUCUUUGCAAGGGGACAGCAUUCCCAUGGUGACGAGGAUGAUAACAUCAGGACUGGCUCCAGCAGUGAGUCCAGUCCCAUUGCUCCCCACAGGAGGAGAUGGGAUGAGAGAGAGCAGCAUUUUCUGUUCAAACACAGAUAACUCGAAGAUUAGCGAGGGUAACAAACCAGGAAUUUUCACUAAACAUAAGUCUGAUAGGUGAUUUAAGAUUAUUAUCCUCUCCACUGUCACAGGCACUCUAAAAGAGCAGGGAUUCUCCUGUCCUAUUAGGCACCUCCAAGGAUCUGUAGCCAUGGGGGUAGAUGGCAACUUGAAUACAUUACUGAGGUGCUAAUAUUAGGCUUUUGUGAGC
rnacentral:lncRNA from 1 species